GGCUCAAAUUAUCCUCCCACUUCAGCUUCCCAAAGUGCUGGGAUUACAGGUAUGAGCCACCGUGCCCAGCCUGAUAUUACUAUCUGCACAAGAGAAAGUAGAGAAGCAGCAAGAAGCAUCUGAUAGACCUGAAGAAACAAGAACCCCCAGCUGCCAACAGGUUCUUCCCAGAAGGAUGGCAUGCCACUCACGCUGAGAACAUGUGAGACCAGAAGGGCAACUGCAUUUCCCCGUUCACUGAGUCCAUGGGGCCCAGGGAACAGUCUGAAGAAGCUGAUCCAGUCUGGACCCAUGAGCCCCCAAAACUAACCAGCACCACAAAGGAGGAGGCUUCUGCAAGUAAGACCCAAACUCACUGGAAAAAAGAGAAGGCCCAGAUAAGAGUGGGGAUCAAACAGCCAGGGAUGCUUGGAAGGAGUGUAGCUUGCUUCUUGAGUGACUGCAGCGAGCAUCUGCUCACCCAUGCACUGGCUGCCUAGUGCAGCUACCCUGCUUCACCUUUAAAAGCGGGUCUGCGUGCUCCAGAUACCAGCCGGCAACCGCAUGGCCUGCUUCGUGGUAUGCCACAGUCUUCUUCUCCUCAGGCUGCAGAACCUGCGUUUUCUUCUCUAAGCCUAACAAAAUAACAACAAAAAAACCCAAGCCAUUGUUACAGUGACACUGACAUUAAAAGACAGUUAUACAGUG
rnacentral:lncRNA from 1 species